AAGUAAAGUCCGAAUUCUUAUGGGAAGCAUAAAGUGAGAUAAUCAAAGCCCCUCUGCUUCCUUUCUUAUAACCUAGGAUUAUAAUAAUAAGGUGAGAAGGGUAGAAGGGGAUAUAUGGAUAAGAUGCAGAUGCAGAUGAGAGAUAAUAAGGAUCUGAAGUUUUAGGAUAAGUUUAGCAUUUAAUGUGAGAUACCGGGGGGGGGGUGACUGAAAGAUAAGAUGAUAAUCCUUUCUUUCUUUACCCUCCGUAAGGUUUGAAUAUAAAAAAGAUAAGCCCUAAAUGAAAAGAACCAGAUCAGAUCCAGAGAGAGAAAACAAUAUGUCUGUUUUGCUUUUUUUAUUAUUAUAAAUAAUAAUAAUAAUUAUUAGAAUAAUAAUAAUAAUAAUAAUAAUAAUUAUAAUAAUAAUAAUAAUAAUGUGCCUCAAGCUAAUUAAUUUUCAGAUCUAUGCCUUAUAUCCCAGUAAAAUAUAUCUCUUCCCCCUUCCGACGAAUAAGUCCCUCACCUUUCCAGCUGAUACAUCCAUCUCAAGUUUUGAGGCCCAAAGGAGGAGUCGUAGGGGAGUGGUGGCAGGUGGGGUAAAGUAAGGGUGGGGGGGGGCUAAUAAGGCAAACAGAUGCUAUUUUAAUCAAGGAAUAUAAUAGGGAGUAAAGGUGGGCUUGAGAGGGAAUAGGGUAGUACGACGUCAAGACUCUGAAAUAGCUGAAACUAUCCGGACUUCAUUCCUAAAUGGGCUAAAGCGAGAAUACUUCCUCAUAUCAAGCUAUACGGUAUGAAUCGAUGAUGUGGCUGUUAUAGCUAAUAAAUAGCUUUUCUCUCUUCCCCCUGAGCUCAACACUAAUUCGCAUGUUUCAUAUUUUUCUAGGUUGUAAUGAUAAUGAGGAGUACAGGUUAAGCUUUAUAAAGGUCGGAGGGGUGAAGGUAAGAUCGUAAGAAUAAAAAUUUAGUUUAGUACCCUCAUAGACAGCAUAACUUGAUUCGGCUUAC
rnacentral:RNase_P_RNA from 1 species